rnacentral:rRNA from 1 species
UACGUAGGGGGCAAGCGUUAUCCGGAUUUACUGGGUGUAAAGGGAGCGUAGACGGCGGUGCAAGUCUGGAGUGAAAGGCAGGGGCCCAACCCCUGGACUGCUCUGGAAACUGUAGUGCUGGAGUGCAGGAGAGGUAAGUGGAGUUCCUAGUGUAGCGGUGAAAUGCGUAGAUAUUAGGAGGAACACCAGUGGCGAAGGCGGCUUACUGGACUGUAACUGACGUUGAGGCUCGAAAGCGUGGGGAGCAAACAGG